rnacentral:lncRNA from 1 species
UUGUUGUUGUUGUUGUUGUUGUUGUUGUUGUUGUAUAUCUGUUAAAUACAAAGCACCAUUGGAAAAAACCCUUGUUACGAUAAACGACCCCUAACAAUUUGGGGCGAACUUGCCUUUUGCUUCAGCCUGAUAUGGCAGGAUGCAUUUCAAUACUUGCUGCCCCACUUUAAACUUCCAGGGAUUCACCUUCUUGUUGUAUGCUCUUGCCAUUUUCUUUUGGUACAACUGGCCAUGACACAUUGCUGGCAGUCUUUUCUCGUCAAUCAAAAUUAAUUGUUCCAAACAGGUCUUGACCCACUCAUUAUCAUCAAUUUUGGUUUAAAUAAUAAUCAGAAGAGAUGGAAUUUCUAUUCCGCGGGUAUCACUGCUUCAGUCCUAUAUACCAACAAAUAAGGAGUUGCACCUAUUGAAGUGCGAACAGUAGUGGGAUAACCCAAUAAAGCAAAGGGUAACUUCUCAUGCCAUUGCUUGGAUCCUUGCACCAUUUUCUAAAGUAUCUACUUUAUAUUCUAGUUGGCUGCCUCGACUGCUCCAUUCUCCUUGGGAGGUAGGGGGUGGAAUUUCGAUGCAUAAUCUUAAACUUUUGACACACUUCUUUCAUGAGAUGACUUUUAAGAUUGGCACCAUUAUCUGUGAUGAUCACCUUUGGGAUUUCGAACUGACAAAUGAUAUUUGAAUAAACAAAAUUGACCACUGACUUCUUGGUCACAGAUUUGAAAGUUUUAGUUUCAACCCACUGAGUGAAAUAGUCAAUGGAUACCAGAAUAAACCUGUGUACAUUGAAUGCUGCUAGC